UACGGAGGGUGCGAGCGUUGUCCGGAAUCACUGGGCGUAAAGGGUGUGUAGGUGGCGCUGUAAGUCGGGUGUGAAAUCUCGGGGCUUAACUCCGAAACUGCAUUCGAUACUGCGGUGCUUGAGGACUGGAGAGGAGACUGGAAUUCAUGGUGUAGCAGUGAAAUGCGUAGAGAUCAUGAGGAAGACCAGUGGCGAAGGCGGGUCUCUGGACAGUUCCUGACACUGAGACACGAAGGCCAGGGGAGCAAACGGG
rnacentral:rRNA from 1 species